rnacentral:rRNA from 1 species
UGGGGAAUUUUGGACAAUGGGCGCAAGCCUGAUCCAGCCAUGCCGCGUGCGGGAAGAAGGCCUUCGGGUUGUAAACCGCUUUGUCAGGGAAGAAAUCUUCUGAGUUAAUACCUCGGGAGGAUGACGGUACCUGAAGAAUAAGCACCGGCUAACUACGUGCCAGCAGCCGCGGUAAUACGUAGGGUGCAAGCGUUAAUCGGAAUUACUGGGCGUAAAGCGUGCGCAGGCGGUUUUGUAAGACAGAGGUGAAAUCCCCGGGCUCAACCUGGGAACUGCCUUUGUGACUGCAAGGCUUGAGUGCGGCAGAGGGGGGAUGGAAUUCCGCGUGUAGCAGUGAAAUGCGUAGAUAUGCGGAGGAACACCGAUGGCGAAGGCAAUCCCCUGGGCCUGCACUGACGCUCAUGCACGAAAGCGUGGGGAGCAAACAGGAUUAGAUACCCUGGUAGUCCACGCCCUAAACGAUGUCAACUGGUUGUUGGGAAAGUUCCUUCUCAGUAACGUAGCUAACGCGUGAAGUUGACCGCCUGGGGAGUACGGCCGCAAGGUUGAAACUCAAAUGAAUUGACGGGGU